rnacentral:rRNA from 1 species
GAUGAACGCUAGCUACAGGCUUAACACAUGCAAGUCGAGGGGUAGCAGGAGAGAAGCUUGCUUUUCUUGCUGACGACCGGCGCACGGGUGAGUAACGCGUAUCCAACCUUCCCCGCAGUAGGGCACAGCCCGGCGAAAGUCGGAUUAAUUCCCUAUGUUCUCCAAUGCAGGCAUCUAAGUUGGAGCAAAGAUUCAUCGCUAUGGGAUGGGGAUGCGUCUGAUUAGGUUGUCGGCGGGGUAACGGCCCACCGAGCCUGCGAUCAGUAGGGGUUCUGAGAGGAAGGUCCCCCACAUUGGAACUGAGACACGGUCCAAACUCC